rnacentral:rRNA from 1 species
UGAGGAAUAUUGGUCAAUGGACGGGAGUCUGAACCAGCCAAGUAGCGUGCAGGAUGACGGCCCUAUGGGUUGUAAACUGCUUUUGUGCGGGGAUAAAGUGUGGGACGUGUCCCAUAUUGCAGGUACCGCAUGAAUAAGGACCGGCUAAUUCCGUGCCAGCAGCCGCGGUAAUACGGAAGGUCCGGGCGUUAUCCGGAUUUAUUGGGUUUAAAGGGAGCGUAGGCGGAUUUUUAAGUCAGUUGUGAAAGUUUGAGGCUCAACCUUAAAAUUGCAGUUGAAACUGGAAGCCUUGAGUGCACGCAGAGGUGCCGGAAUUCAUGGUGUAGCGGUGAAAUGCUUAGAUAUCAUGAAGAACUCCGAUCGCGAAGGCAAGUGCCUGGAGUGCUACUGACGCUGAGGCUCGAAAGUGCGGGUAUCAAACAGGAUUAGAUACCCUGGUAGU